rnacentral:rRNA from 1 species
GACGAACCGUGCGAACGUUGUUCGGAAUCACUGGGCUUAAAGGGCGCGUAGGCGGGCUGUCAAGUCUGGGGUGAAAUGCCGCGGCUCAACCGUGGAACUGCCUUAGAUACUGACGGCCUCGAGGAAGGUAGGGGCAUGCGGAACUGUAGGUGGAGCGGUGAAAUGCGUUGAUAUCUACAGGAACUCCGGUGGCGAAAGCGGCGUGCUGGACCUUUUCUGACGCUGAGGCGCGAAAGCGUGGGUAGCAAACAGG